rnacentral:other from 1 species
UUCCCCCUGGGGCGUGCGUGAUGGUCUGGAGUGUUAUUGAGCCAAUACUCUGAAAAAGGGCGCCGACUCCAGUGAGCUGGUGAGCAAGCCCGGUAUAACCGGGAAGCCUAAAGGUUCACGAGUCAUGCCCACCUGGACAUGCCAGGUUCAAAACAAACAGGCCACACGGCUCCCCGGGGAUUUA